rnacentral:rRNA from 1 species
CCUACGGGUGACAGCAGUGAGGAAUAUUGGUCAAUGGACGCAAGUCUGAACCAGCCAUGCAGCGUGAAGGAAGACGGCCCUAUGAGUUGUAAACUGCUUUUGUACGAGGGUAAACGCAGAUACGCGUACCUGUCUGUAUGUACCUUACGAAUAAGGAUCGGCUAACUCCGUGCCAGCAGCCGCGGUAAUACGGAGGAUUCAAGCGUUAUCCGGAUUUAUUGGGUUUAAAGGGUGCGUAGGCGGUCGGAUAAGUUAGUGGUGAAAUCCCGCGGCUCAACUUCGGAAUUGCCUCUGAUACUGUUCGGCUAGAGAGUAGUUGCGGUAGGCGGAAUGUGUGGUGUAGCGGUGAAAUGCUUAGAGAUCAUGCAGAACACCGAUUGCGAAGGCAGCUUACCAAGCUACUACUGACGUUGAGGCACGAAAGCGUGGGGAGCAAACAGGAUUAGAUACCCGGGUAGUC